rnacentral:rRNA from 1 species
UACGUAGGGGGCAAGCGUUGUCCGGAUUUAUUGGGCGUAAAGAGCGUGUAGGCGGCCAGACAAGUCUGCUGUGAAAACUCGAGGCUCAACCUCGAGCUGUCGGUGGAAACUGUCUGGCUAGAGUCCGGAAGAGGAGAGUGGAAUUCCUGGUGUAGCGGUGAAAUGCGCAGAUAUCAGGAAGAACACCUAUGGCGAAGGCAGCUCUCUGGGACGGUACUGACGCUGAGACGCGAAAAGCGUGGGGAGCGAACAGG